rnacentral:lncRNA from 1 species
CACACACAUGCACGCACGGAGGGCAGUGGGCGCUGCUCGCACGGAGCGGAGCACCCCGAGGAGCUGCAGGUUGCUCCGCACGCCAGUCAGAGGAUCUCCUCUCCCUGGCUUCCUGAAACAAACCGUUUUUACUGCAUUUUUGUCAAUGAAGGAGUCUCCCGCUCCUCCCGAGACCCGCGGCUCUCCGCCAGCCCGCAGCGAUCCCCGUGGUUCAGCGAUUCUUUCUUCUUCGGGUGCGCUCAUCUUGGGGAGGCUGCAAAGUGGCGCACACGCAGCACACGAGCGACGUUUCCCCCAGGCGUCCAGACCUGACCUCGCUGGCUUGUCAUGCCUCCCGGGGAUGGAGCAGUAGCCUCACGCACAGUGAACCGAGGCAGAGAGAAGUGGAAAUUAAUUGAAGACAGAUUUGGGUGCCCUGCCUGGGACAGCCGCUGCUGGCUCUUCCAGAUCCUGUGAUGUUCAGAGCAUGCAGCCAGCAAUGCGGUCACCAUUUUGCCAGAUCUCAGCUGGGCACCUAGAGCAGCAAAAAAAUGGAGUUUUCCUUUUCAUAAGUUUGAUUUUAAACAACAUGAUAACACGAACUAUGUCUAUACAUAUGCCUAUGUAUGUUCAUAAUACCUCCUGGACUUUUUAAAUGAGAAAAAGGAAAGAUAACGAAAUCAUCAUAUGGCAUUGCCCAGGUCAGAGCUGGCUUAGGACCCUUCCCUCCACCAUGCAGACCCCCAUCAGUCUCCCUCUAGCAGCACCUAGCAGAUGCUAGUGGGGAUAGCAGGGAUAGCAGAUUGCCAUUUGCUGCACUAAGCAGAGCAGGACUUUUUUUCCAGCUGUUUCCUCACAGCUGGGAGGUGGCAAAACCUUGUGAUAUUGUUUCUGUCAGAGCCAGAAGGAGUGUUUAUUCUUGUGACCUUGCUUCCAGCCAUCCAUGCUCAUGUCCCUUCCAACUAGGCCCCGUCCAAGUGUUCACAGAAUCACACAGAAUCACAGAACCAUAGGAGCUGGAAGGGACCUCUGGAGAUCACACAGUCCAACCACCUGCUAAAGCAGGUUCCCUGCAGUAGCACAGGAAAACAUCCAGGUGGAUUUGGAAUAUCUCCAGAGAAGGAAACUCCACAACCUCUCUGAGCCGCCUGUUCCAGUGCUCCAUCACUCCCACAGUAAAGAAGUUCUUCCUUGUGUUACCUCUUUCAUACAUCAGUUACCCUUCAUGUGGACCUAGUCCCACAUCAAGCUUCUCAUUCCCGUUGCCUUGCCAACACAGUCAUCAUCAUCACAGUUCUCUUCUUUCUCUGCCAGUCCAUCUCAGUCUGUCUCCCUGUCUCAUUCCAGGCCUCCUCAUCACCACACAGCCCUGC